GACGAGGUGGUUAAGGUGAUGGACUGCUAGUCCGUUAUACUCUGCAUGCGUGGGUUUGAAUCCCGUCCUUGUCG
rnacentral:tRNA from 1 species